rnacentral:rRNA from 1 species
UUGGGCGCGAAAGGCACUCAACCUAUUCUCAAACUUUAAAGAGGUAAAAACCCCGACUUGCUUAAUUGAACCCGUGGCACUGAGUGUGAGUUCCAAGUGGGCCAUUUUUGGUAAGCAGAACUGGCGAUGCGGGAUGAACCGAACGCGGGAGUUAAGGCGCCAAAAUCGACGCUCAUCAGACCCCAGAAAAGGUGUUGGUUGAUCUAGACAGCAGGACGGUGGCCAUGGAAGUCGGAAUCCGCUAAGGAGUGUGUAACAACCCACCUGCCGAAUCAACUAGCCCUGAAAAUUGAUGGCGCUUAAGCGUCGUGCCUAUACUCCGCCGUUGGGGCAAAUGCGAAGCCUCGACGAGUAGGUGGGCGUGGGGGUUGUGACGAACCCUAGGGAGUAUCCCGGGGAAACGGCCCCUGGUGAUAUCUUGGUGGUAGUACCAAUAUUCAAAUGACAACUUUGAAGACUGAAGUGGAGAAGGUUCCAUGUGAACAGCAUUGGACAUGGGUUAGUCGAUCCUAAGAGCAAGGGAAAUCCCGUUUUACAGGGAGAACUCGUGGAAUUUAUUUUAUUUGGUACGCUGCCUAUCGAAAGGGAAUCGGGUUAAUAUUCCCGAACCGGGACGAGGAUAGAUUUGCGGCAACGCAAGUGAACCCGGAGACGCCGGCGGGGGCCCUGGGAAGAGUUCUCUUUUCUUUUUAACAACGCCAUUGCCCCGAAAUCAGCUUAUCUGGAGAUAGGGUUUAUCAGCUUGGUAAAAGCACAGCACUUCUUGUUGUGUCCGGCGCGCACCCGACGGUCCAUGAAAAUCCGAGGGAAAGAAUAAUUUUCUCGCCUGGUCGUACUCAUAACCGCAGCAGGUCUCCUAGGUAACUCCGUUUAUGAGGCGUAUUGUGGAAUGAAUUCUUGGCUAGUGAAGUAAGGUAGUGAACGGGUAUGUAAUAGAAGAGAUAUAAUAAAAUAUGGAACCUAGUGAUAUGUAUA